rnacentral:rRNA from 1 species
GCAGCAGCCGCGGGAAUACGAAGGGGGCUAGCGUUGCUCGGAAUUACUGGGCGUAAAGGGAGCGUAGGCGGACAUUUAAGUCAGGGGUGAAAUCCCAGAGCUCAACUCUGGAACUGCCUUUGAUACUGGGUGUCUUGAGUGUGAUAGAGGUAUGUGGAACUCCGAGUGUAGAGGUGAAAUUCGUAGAUAUUCGGAAGAACACCAGUGGCGAAGGCGACAUACUGGAUCAUUACUGACGCUGAGGCUCGAAAGCGUGGGGAGCAAACAGGAUUAGAUACCCGUGUAGUCCCUGUCUCUUAUAC